rnacentral:lncRNA from 1 species
CCUCCCAAAGUGCUGGGAUUACAGGCGUAAGCCACCGCACCUGUUCGCAACAAACAUAAUUUCUAAAACAAAGGAGACUCUUUGCAGCGGCUGUACGUUCUUAUUCCUCACUGUCAGCAUUCUCUUGUUGCAGAAUACAACCUCCAGUCAUGUUGUUUUUAUGAAUGAAUCUUUUUACCACUUUCUUACUAUGACCAGGUCUGGAGGCAGAAAACCACGUUGUCUUCUCUGCCUAAAAAGCAACACCUCAUCUUCACAGACAAAGUUGGCUAUGGAGUAGACUCACAGCAUUCCAUGAUAACUAGUUAGAAUGCAGCAGUGUUCCAAAUGGGCCAAACCUUGUCCAGACAGGAGCAACAGGCAGCUCAGGGUCCCAGGAACACUCACCAGCUGGCAGCCCCUCGGGAAGCGGCUGGGCUUUCCACGUGUUCCUGCAUGCUGGGCACACUCUGGCUUAGAUGCCCUCUUACAGCUGCAGGUGCUGUGGCGUGGUCCUCAGCCCUGAGGAUGUGGGAGGAGAGGAAGCAGUCCUGUGCAUGCAGGGGAUGAGUCACGGGAUUUUGCAGAGAGAUAUGGCAAGAGGAUUGUUUAUCUUGGACUCUUUGCAGUGCCAUGGCUCUGAGGAAGCUCUCUGCAGCUACACACUCUACGAAGAGUGUUUCUCAACCUCAAUGGUCACUAUUUUGAAAGCCUUUUAUUUCUUACAGUCAUUACAUACUUUUGAUUUAGCACUGGGUCUUGGCCAUUCUCACAUGAUUGUAUUAGUCAGGGUCCAACCAGGAAACGGAAACUGCCCAGAUUAUUUAAGACAGAGGAUAUUUAAUGCAAGGCACCAUGACUCACGCCUGUAAUCCCAUCACUUUGGGAGGUCAAGGCGGGCAGAUCACCUGAGGUCAUGAGUUCGAGACCAGCCUGGCCAACAUGGUGAAACCUCAUCUCUGCUGGAUUCUUUCUGCCCUCUACUGUCUGACCUCCCAGGAGGAGUGUCUUCCAUUGACUAAACCAGCAGAGUUUGUGACAGGUGACAGCAGUUUGAGGCCAGGUGACAGCACAGUUUGAGAUUCAGGACCUUCAGAAGUCAGAGCCCUGCCACACUGAGGAGGGCAGGGAAGGGGAAGGCGCAGCUCUGGGGACAAACUGCUGUCAGCCAGCAUAGUCAUCUGUGCCCAGGGCUAGCCUUGCUC